UACGGAAGGCAGCAGGGGGAAGUAUUGCACAAUGGGCGCAAGCCUGAUGCAGCCAUGCCGCGUGUAUGAAGAAGGCCUUCGGGUUGUAAAGUACUUUCAGUCGUGAGGAAGGUGUUAAGGUUAAUAACCUUAGCAAUUGACGUUAGCGACAGAAGAAGCACCGGCUAACUCUGUGCCAGCAGCCGCGGUAAUACGGAGGGUGCGAGCGUUAAUCGGAAUUACUGGGCGUAAAGGGCACGCAGGCGGUUAAUUAAGUUGGAUGUGAAAUCCCCGGGCUUAACCUGGGAAUGGCAUUCAAGACUGGUUAGCUAGAGUCUUGUAGAGGGGGUAGAAUUCCAUGUGUAGCGGUGAAAUGCGUAGAGAUGUGGAGGAAUACCGGUGGCGAAGGCGGCCCCUGGACAAAGACUGACGCUCAUGUGCGAAAGCGUGGGGAGCGAAAC
rnacentral:rRNA from 1 species